UAAAUAAAUAAAGCCAUCAUUUAUGGCUUUAUGAGAGCUUGGCUAAAUCCUAGUUUAGUAUAAUGAGUUAACCCUGUAAAUGUGUGUGAGAUGUUUUGAAUUCAAAAUGGAGCCAGAUCAGAUGGCCAAUAUUGCUGUAGCUGGGGCAUAUUUCUGCAAAGCUGGUCACCAUGCCCUCACUGAACAUUCGGCACCCAACCCGCGCGCACCCCCAGCCUAGUGCUAAUGUGGCCAGAGACCCCCCUUCCCUUUCCUCUCCCCCCUCUGCCAUCCUGGCUGCCCAGGACCGAGCGCAGGACAGGUGUUCUCCGGCUUCUGCGCCUUCCUCUCAGAAGAGACACCUGAUAAAUCAUCGGAAGUUAAUGAUCAAAAAGCUUAUCUGAGCCUUUUCGUUUAUAAAUGUAUAAGAGAAAAGAGAAAUAAUAAAGCCACUGGAUAAUUAGUAACCAGUCCAGUCCUGAAGCUCUGGAAACCAAGCUGACCCUAGAUCUCAAUGCAGAGUCAGGGCAAGUUGGGGGACGAGAAGGGGUCAUCUGAAGGGCAGGGUAGCCUGGAAGUCGAGCCCAAGAAGGGAAAUUAGCAAAGGAAGAAGGAAGUCUUUGGGGCAAGUCUUCUUAGCAGCAACAGAGGAAGAGGAGGGAGCCCAGAGGCCUGCCUGCUUCACCCCACAGGGGAGGGAAGGAAACCGCUUUACCCAAAGCAUAAGCGCACACGGGGAGAUGGUGAAGGCAACGCAGCAGACAGAACGUUUGAUCCUGCUUAACCCCAGUUCUGUCACGGGUUAUAGAAAAACCACAAUCUCUCAGUCCAUGUCCAUGAAAUGGAUACAGGGUUGAGCUACUUCUUUGCUUACAAAAAUGUGGCAGGAUAGAACUGCAUGAUUGUGCUUUCACUGUCCCCAAAGGCAACCUAGAGACAUUUUAAAAUAAACAUGUUACAUAGUCAUAAGGCACCUUGAAGACUAGUAAGAAGACAUCUUUGAUUUGUUUUGGUUCUAAAUAUUGGCUUUACUGGUUGAUUAUUAACUUGUAAACUACUGUUAUUGGCUGGAAUUUCGUAACAAUUGUGUUUUUCUUUGGAUCUGUACAAUGGCUUAGUAAAGGCUCAUAAUGAAUAUGAUGAUGAUGAUGGUGAUUAACCAGUUGCGCAAUAAGCUUCCUUGAUCCAUUGCUAGAAGCACUUGGCUUAGCCUGCAAAGGCAAAAGGGGUAUUUUAAUGACAAGCCUCCCUCCACCCGCUAACUGAGAAGAAAACAAUAAAUAAAAUCUUGCAUUUUUCUAUGA